GGAGGAGGAGGAGGGUUUCAGGGACCUGGUUCUUCUCGUGCCUCCUCCUCCUCCCUUCUUCUAAACUUCAGCCCCUCUCUCUAGAGCUCAGCAGGAGCCCUGUCCAACCACAAGCCUGCUUUCUCUUUCUUCCUCUCCACACCCACUCCCACCACUGCCCACUGAAUCAAUGUGGCUGGAACUGCUGGCACUCUUACCUCCUCACCGACUAGCUAAGUACUGCAAUUUGAGUGGGUGAGCAGGAGAAAGGGGAGGAAGUCUGGGGAGGUGGUGGGCCUAGUGAGGUGAGGAGAGUAGGACAGGCUGUAGUGAGUGAGCAGGUAGCCAACCUGUGCAGGCACAUUCACAGCCCUAAUCUACCCUUCUAAUCCACCUCCUCCCCUGGCCUUAUGAGAGCACCGGCCCUGCUACUGUGACAACAAAAGUCUCAACAUAUCUUUUUUGGGGGGAAAUAGAAAUAGUGCGAUGGGAUGAGCUAGAACCAUUCUCUCUGAUGUGUUAGCUAUUUUCUUUCCAUUCAUAUUUUCAAAGGGUUAGCAUUCAAAAAUAGUAUCCCCCACCCUCUGCCAUCUUCAGUCUGACUUUGAGCACUCAGUUCUAGGGAUGUCCGAAAUGUUUCGGGUACAGAACAAUCUGUACCCCAAACAGUCCAUUUAGGGUGUUUAGUAGCCAAAACGAAACACCCAAUAGCCCAGCCGAAAUGUUUUGGAGCCAAAACGAAUCGUCCUUGUUUCGGCUCCAAAAGAUUUGUAGUUUCGGCCCCUCCAUUUUGUGAUUGGCUCAGUCUCUCUCUAGUAGCUUCGUUCCUUGUUCCUCCUCUUCUGACGUCUCUUUGAAUUUCCCGCCCGUCAGGGUAGAAGCAGGGCCGGAUGCAGCAUGGACAGGAGUUUCUUUCUGGAGUGGCAGGGAGCUUGCUGGGCUCCUGGGCUGGCCGUCUCACCGAUGCUGCUUCGCCAGAGUUGGAAUGCGGACACAGUCACAGCCACGGCCGUGGCCACAAAAGGGGAUGCAGCGGAGGAGGCAGACGGCCGGCUGAGGAUCUGCUCCUGAAGAGAAAGCAAAAACUAGCACUUCUUUGAAAUUCCUUGGCUAUUUCUACAACAUUUUUCAGCUGCCGAUUUGGGAUGAAGUUUGUCUUCUGAACUCUUUUUCUACACUGAGGGCAGGAAACCUCUGUGCCCGUCUCCCUCCAGCACUGCGUCAGGCACGCUUGACAGAAAUUGUGCCCACACUCUAUAAUGGUCACCGGGUCCUUGAAAUAGUCCAGACAGAUGGAGCAAGUAGCUUCCUCACAGAGAUCCUUGACAGGACUCUUCGCUGCCAUGACUGACUUAUACUGAAAACAGCUAAAGCUUUAUUUGAAUUUUCUCCUCAGUGGGUGGGUGAUCUCCUUCCUGAAAAUGAGAUAACUCGGGAUCUCAUGUGAAAUGCUGAUAUGAAAUCGACCAACCGCAUGUGAAAGAAAAACCUGUUGGUGAGAUAGUACAGCCUCCUGAUAGGCAAAAUCCAUUUGUUAAGACAAAGGGCACAAUGACUGCCUAAUUAGAAAAAGAUUUUUUAUGACAGUUCAAUAGAAGGAAGUUUUUAUCAAUGCACUUUAGCCUCAAAUUCCUUUGGAAGCCAAUGAGUGCUUCGGGAUAUAUCAGGAUAUAUCUCAGUGAGUUGCUUGCUCCUCUCUGUCCUCCCCAGCCUGGGCUGACUUUUUCACUUUUCAGUGAUUUUUAGUUCUUAGCUUAGCAAGAAAUGCUCUCUGAUGACCCUGGCUGCAGUAGUAGAUUGUGUUACAGCACACAACAGCCCAGCCUUCCACGCAGAAGGAAGCACUUUGUAAUGUAAUAAAUGUAAGUGUCUGACUGUGUCAGCUCAGCUGCUAAUUUGCCUGAGGCAUUUAUCAGCAGCUUAAAUUAUGAUCCUCCAGCAGGGAAGGAACAGGCAGUCAAUUAUUUAUUUCCUGAUUGUGUCCCGGAGUUGGAGAACCUGUUUUAAGUUCAGCAGCAGUUUUGUUAGCUGAGACCACUGCUAGUGCAGGCUGCUGCAUGGCUCAGGCUCCUGGGAGUGUGCCGAGUGCAGACUUCACCAUGAAUGAUGCAGGGAGCAAAGCAAGGGGUCGUGUGCCUUCACUCAGGGGUGUAGCAAGGUUGGAGUGGGCCCAGAGACAAGAUUUUAAAAUGCCCCCCCGCCACUGAAGCUCAGCUCAUGAAGUAAGGAAAUCUUAAAUGAGACUGAAUAGUGGUAACAAAAAGCAUAGUAAAAUUUAUUAUAUAGAUAUAGAUAUAUAACCUAUGUGCCACAAUAGAACAUCAUCCUAAAUUAUUUUUAAAAGGGUUUUGUAAAUUGUGGACGAUGCAAGUCGUUUAAUGGUACUAGAGAAAGACAUGCUGUUCUGGUAGCUCCAGGUCUUAACACCCACAUCAAUUUCGGAGGAUGAAUACAACAAGGAAGCCCGGGCAGGUGCGUGGCUGGGGGAGUCAGUCAUGUGACUUGCCUCUGGGGGGGGGGCAAGACAACUGUCUCCCCAUGUCCUAUUAUAGUUAUGCCCCUGCCUUCACUGCAGUGCCAGCGCUAUAGACUCUGGAGCAAUGUUGUCCCAAAAAUGGAAUUCGUGUCUGUCAUGCAAGUCAGUGAACACACCAAGGGUGGAAAUCUUUCUAAGUUUAUUCUGCGCAGAAUAAAGGUGCUGAGAAUCGCUCCCAAAGCAAGCACCCACAGCAAACUUACCAUCAGGCUUAUAUAGAAAAACCUACAAAGUUUUGGUCACACCAGCCAUCCGCCAGCUCCCCCUCCCAUCUCUGCUAGUAAGCAUACACCAUCCCUCUGGGCUUUGAGUGUAACUUGUUGUGUAUUCUGUUAUCUCCCGCAGUUACAGAACAAAGAGCCAUUCUUCCUUCUUUCUUAUGGGAAACAGAAGUGAUUCACACACUGGUUGAUCUGGUUGCAAGCAGGAAGUAGGCAGCCGACUGCCAAGUCCGCACUUUAGCUUAGUGACCUUACAUACGGUGGAGGGGGUAGUGGUGGUAAUGGCUAUACCCUGGCCCAUCCUCAACAACAAGGCAUGGUUAGAAUAUCACUAGGGAUGGGCCCGGACUGGUCCGGAGGCCAUUAAAAAAGCCUUCAGACCGGUCCGGAGCUGGGUGGUUCGGUCCGG